AUAUGAUGCUUCCUUGAUUAUUGUAGCUUUGAAGUAAAUCUUGAAUUGGGAAGUAUCAGUUCAAUAACUUGGUCUUCAUUAGUAUUGUCUAGAUUACUUAAAAGUAUGAAAUCAAUGUCAAUAUCUACAAAGUAGCUUGCCGAGAUUUUUAUUGAGAUUGUACUUGCUCUUUCCAUCAAUUUACCAGGAAUUGACAGAUUAAUAAUAAUGUCCUUUGAUCAUAAACAAGGAAUAUAACUCAAUUGAUAUAUUUUUUCAUGGCUUUCAAGAGUGUUUCAUCUUUUUCCCACAGAGAUCUGUAAAUAUUUUGUUGGAUUUACAUGUAAGAAUUUUUUCUUUUUAGGUUUAUUAUAAAUGGUAUUUUUUUCAUGUUUCAAUAUUUGUUACUGGUAAUAUAGAAUCAACUGAAUUUUGUAUAUUGACUUUGAACUUAACUUCAUAUUAUUUCUAUAAAUUCCCAUUUUGGCACAAAGCAAUGGACUCCAUUUCAGUUUCAAAUUCCCAAGUCAUGGCCUUGAAUAAUCUGAGUACUGAAUUUCACGGAUUCACCAAAAAGGGCACAGCCAGCUUUAAACAACUAGGUUUGGGCUUCCUAGCCUGUACUCCCUGGGUCAGCAGGGGGUGCAUGAAACUGCCUGUUCUGGCCUCUGUGGUACGCAUGUGUGGUCUGCUAGCAGAGGUCGGUGUCUGGUUUGUGGUGUCUCUCGCGAGGACGAGAACUUAGUUUUGUUGGGACCAAGGGAAAGAAAAUAUUUCCUGUCCAUGGCCUUGACUGAGGAAGGGGAUGUGCCACAGUUUUCCCAGACAUUUUUCUAAAUAGCUCUCCUCGGACCUCUGACUGCAGCCACACUGGCCUCUCUGAUGUUCCCAGAACUGACCAGCUACUCUCCUCAAGGUGAUAUUAUUAUUACUUCUGCUUCAGUGAUCUGUCAAGAGGAUUAAACCAGCCAACACACAUGAAAAUACUGCUAUAAACUGACGACAACUUGGAAAUGGAAGUAAUGACAUCAUUUCACUGUGCAGCUCCACAUCUGACAAAAUAAAGGUGUUGAUAAGUUUAGUGCUUGAGAACUUGCACAUAUACCUACCUGUCUGUUUAUGAGUACUCUGAACAACGCAACCCAUUAGUUAAGCUUAAUUGCCACUAUAGUGCCACUGUGUGGUUCAGUCUGGUAGCUACUAGCCACAGGUGUCUACCAACUCUUGAAAUGUGGCCAGUCCAAAUGAAGGUGUGCCAUAAGUGUAAAAUACACACCAGAUUUUAAUCAUUUUGUGUGAAAAAAAACCAAAGGAAAAUAUUUUAUUGAUAUGGUUUUUAUCUUGAUUACCCAUGGAAAUUAUAAUAUUUUGGAAGUAUCCAAGUAAAUAAAAUGGGUUGCUAAAAUUAUUUCAACCUGUUUUUUGUUUGUAUUUUUUAAAAUGUGGCUAGUAGUAAAUUUAAAAUCACAUACGUGGCUCUACAUACAUUUUUAUUCGAUGGUGCCACUUUCAACCAAAUUAUUUCUAGUGAGUUUGGAUUUCGUGUAGCUACUAGGGCAUUCCUUGACCAGUGGCACCUCAGUCCUAAAGCAUAUUUGCCCAGUGCUCUUCUCAGAAUGUAGUUGAAACAACCUGGAGUAAAAGGAAUGGUUGGGGUGGCAAGAUGGUAAAUGGGGUGGAAACCCAAAAGCAAGGAGAUUUAAAAAUUUUUUUUGUUUCAGAAUUUAUAGAUAGCAUUCAUUGAUUGUGAUGAUCCAACUUAUUUCUCAUGAGAACAAAGUGGGCCAACCAAUGAUAGAAUAGUUUUGUGAAUUGUGAAUUGGCAUAAAAAGAUAAGGGACAGGUCCUGGCUGGUGUGGCUCAGUGGACUGAGUGCUGACCAGCGAACCAAAAGGUCACUGGUUCGAUUCCCAGUCAGGGCAUAUGCCUGGGUUGCAGGCCAGCUUUCCAGUGGGGGCACAUGAGAGGUAACCACACAUUGAUGUUUCUCUCCCUCUCUUUCUUCCUCCCUCCCCCUCUCUCUAAAAAUAAAUAAUUAAAAUCUUAAAAAAACUGGAUGAGGGAUAGUUACAGCAUUGUUUCUAGGUUUAACUAAAUACUUAACUAAGCAAUGUACACACAUGCUUACUAAGAUUCUGCAUCCCAUACCAUGAGCACCACAGAUAAGAUGCUUAGAGGCUCCACCUCACUCCCAAACAGACUAGUGACAUGUUGGUUAAAAGAAUUGUCAUUAAACCCAGUAUAUAUGUAUACAAGUGUAUCUGUGUGUGUGUGUGUGUGUGUGUGUGUAUCCUAUUGGUUCUGCAUCUCUGGAAAACUCUGAACCUGACUAAUGUAUUACCUGACAAAACACGUCAGCCAACCUCUACCAUUAAACUGGCCGGCUUUUAUGUGCAGUGAUGCGUACAAUGAGAGGAAGGAGUGCAAUAUGAAUCAAGAGUGAUUAAACAUAGAGAAGACAACUUAGAAUGCUACUGUGAAAAGAAUUGAUGACAAUCUAAAUGGGUGCAUUCGGUGGAGAAAUAAUUCACAGGAGAAAUAUAAAAAGUAUACAAAAAGCAUAAUUUAUUAGGUGUGUAUAAUUCUGGGUUAUCAGACUUUCCUACAUGCUUGAUUAAGGUUUGCAUAAUGACUGAGACAAAGAAAAUCAGGUUUUUUUUUUUCCUUAAAAACAAAGUAAUUUGCUUAUACUACCUUCGAGGCGAAAUAAAAUCUGGUGUGACCUUAAUAUAAAGUUAUUUAUACCAUUUAUUUUAAAGAUGGUCUUCACUGGGAAUAAAAAGACAUUGAAUCCAUAAUAUUUUAAUCUAUUGCGGUUGGUGUGCAUAAGUCACACACUUCUGUAUUGAGCGUUUGCAUAUUGAGUGUAGCUUGACCUUAACAAUUUAUCACUUAGUCUCGUACCAUCACCCUCCGUGAUUGAUGUUACAGCUAAGGGUCUAGCAGCAAUUUCAUUAUAGUCCCCGUGUUUCAGGGUUUCAUAAAUAAGCAGUCAAAAUCUCCUGUAGGCUGUGAGAUGUUUUCGUUUGCAUAUUAUCAUUUUAGUUCCAUAUUGUAGCUUCUGUCCAUUAGCUAUAGAAUCAUUUUUCAUUUUCAGAGAGAGUUCCUAUAGGAAACCAUUUUAAUGAUCAUUAAGUGAGGAGAAAACUUGCAAAGAGAAAUUAAAGUUAUUAAAUACCAUUCCUUCCCAGCAAUAUACAUAAAUCGAAUGAAUUAAUGAAUAAUGCAAACCGUACUCUGUGAUAUACACAGAUGAAGUUUACAGAUAUUUAUAGAAUUAAUCAAUAAGCAUGUACACUGUUAAUUAAUGGCAAAGCCCAGUAAGUAUAUGCUUAAUGAAUAAAUAAGUAGGUUAAUAUUGUGGAAGAUAUAGAUUUUAAGAUUAUGCCCAUGACCUCAAUCAAUUUAAAAUCUAAGAGGGGAGAUAAGAUAUAGAAAAAAAAUAA